CUCAAGUCUCAAAUCUCAUUCUCUCUCAAAUCUCAUUUCUCAAUUCUCAAAUAUUCUAUAUAUUUAAUUUCUAAAGUGCUCACUUUAAUUUUUUUAAUUUUGCGAUUACUAAGUACGAGUGAAAGUUUCUAAAGUCGCAACCUUCGAAUACUUCUAAAAUUUGGUAUUGUCAUUCCAUCUCUUACUUUUAAUUUAUAAUUAGUGUAUUAAUUGUUGAAUAUUUAUUUUUAUUACUUUUUUUGUAUUUUGAAUAUUUUUUUAGUUUGAUUUAUACUAUGGAUAAAUUAAGAAACCUCGGUAAAAGUGUCAAAAAAUUGUCCCGGAAGUGGUAGUGGUAGCAAAAGCGAAUUAUUAGCGGUAGAGGUACUUCAAGUACUAGAUAUACCCGUGUGCCUUCGCCUCCGGUACCACUUAGUCAACCUUUUGAGGAAGAAAUAGGUGUAGAUGCUCACGAUAUGGAUUAUUUAGAAGUUCAGGGAAUUAUGGUAUAGAAGAAGAAAAUGAAGUAGAUGCAGUUGAUUUAGAUGAAGAUGAUGAAAAUAUUGGUGAGACACCCGAAGUAGGAAAUGCUAAUGUUAUAUCCGAAUCGGUUAAUCUCCCACUCCGUCCUCCCCGUGCCCCAAGAGCUUGUAACCAAACUAGUAUUGCAUGAAAAUUUUUUAAAUGUAUAUCAGAUACUGAGGUGCAAUGCAAUAUUUGUCAAAAAUUAUAUAAGCAUAAAAGAGAAGGCAAGCAAGGGGGUACAGGUACGUUAAUGAGACAUUUAGCUGAAGACGACGAAAGAGAGUUAAAAAUUAUACAAGGUGGUGAGGCUUUUGGUAGGCCCACACAAACUAGAAUGGACCCAACAACCGGUCACGUAAUGAAGAAGUAUAAUAAAUUGAGGGACCGGGAAGAAAUAGCAAAAAUGGUAGCUGUAGGUUGUUUGCCUUUUAUUUUUUCUUCUUCUGAUGCUUUUAUUCAUUAUAUUCAAGCAAUUUAUUAUCCUAUGUUUAAUGGUAUUCCUAGGAGUACUUGUCGGUCUGAUAUUUUUAGACUUCAUUCACAAUAUUAUUUUUAUUUAUCUAUAUUGUUAAAAAAUAUUCAAUGUAGAAUAUCCCUAACUUCUGAUCUUGGUCGUGCUGUAAAUAAAAUUGCAGCAUUUUAUGGUAUCGAAAAUAAAAUCUUAUGUAUCGCUUUUGAUAACGCUUCUAACAACAAGACUGCUAUAACAAAGUUGAAAUCUAAGCUAUCACCGCCGUUACCUGAAAUUUUUCAUAUUAAGUGUGCAUGUCAUAUAUAUAAUUUAAUUGUAAAAGAUGGCCUUGAGUUUUUUGAUAUUUAUAUUGAAAAAAUCCAUCUUGCUGUUGGUUUUAUACAAGGAAAUAAUCGUAGAUCGAGAAUUAAAGAAUUUAAAGUUAAAUGUCAAGAAAAUGGACUUGCACCUAUAUUGAUGCCUGAGGAAAUUGAUAUUAGAUGGAAUUCUAUGUAUGAUUUUUUAAAAACUUGUUAUAAAUAUAGAGUUCCUAUUACAUUAGCUUUUAACCAAUAUUGUGGUUCAUUUGCUGAUUCUGCCGAUUGUAUGCUACUUGAUUCUGAUUGGGUUGUAAUUAAUGAUAUUGUUAAGUUUUUGGAAAAGUUUUAUGUAGUUACGGUUGAAUUUUCUGGUGCUUAUUAUCCUACUGUUUGUAAUAUUUUGGGAUAUAUAACCGAUAUUCUAGUUUGCUCAAAGAAUAUAAAAAUAAAGAAAGUUAUGAAAAUGCUAUUGGUGUCAUGUUUACUAAAUUUAAAAAAUAUUUUUUCUCAAUUUUACCUAUUUUCUUGGUUGGUGCUAUGCUAAAUUCGUGCAUUAAAUACCAUAAUAUGUGCCACUUUAGUACUCUUAUUUAUCAUAAUUUAGAAAUAAAUACUAACAAUGGUUCUAAACAAGUACAACUUGAUUUGUGGACGGCUAUGUCUGAUGCGACUGCUUACAUAGAUAAAUUAUAUAACCACUAUGCUGAUUUAGUUGAUUUAGUUGCACCGAUACAUAUCAGUCCAACUGUCGCUCCUCAUCCUCCUAAGGUGCCAUCAUUUUCUAAAAGGCCGGCACAUUAUAGUUUUUUUGAUUCCUUUUAUGAUUUACCCUGUUGGAAUAGUGUUGACGAGGGAGCUUACACAUCAACUUAUCGGGAA
rnacentral:lncRNA from 1 species